AGCAGCCGCGGUAAUUCCAGCUCCAAUAGCGUAUAUUAAAGUUGUUGCAGUUAAAAAGCUCGUAGUUGAAUUUCGGGGUUAGUAGGCUGGUCAUGCCACUGGUAUGUACUGGUCUCACUGAUUCCUCCUUCCUGAUGAACCGUAAUGCCAUUAAUUUGGUGUUGCGGGGAAACUGGACUGUUACUUUGAAAAGAUUAGAGUGUUUAAAGCAGGCUAACGCUUGAAUACAUUAGCAUGGAAUAAUGAAAUAGGACGUUCGAUCCUAUUUUGUUGGUUUCUAGGAUUGACGUAAUGAUUAAUAGGGAUAGUUGGGGGCAUUAGUAUUCAAUUGUCAGAGGUGAAAUUCUUGGAUUUAUUGAAGACUAACUACUGCGAAAGCAUUUGCCAAGGAUGUUUUCAUUAAUCAAGAACGAAAGUUAGGGGAUCGAAGACGAUCAGAUACCGUCGUAGUCUUAACCAUAAACUAUGCCGACUAGGGAUCGGAUGAUGUUAAUUUUUUAAUGACUCAUUCGGCGCCUUACG
rnacentral:rRNA from 1 species